GCAUGGAAUGGAUAGCUUAUGCUUGGAGCAAAAGGAAUGGACGAAAUUUGAAGUUUGUGCAUCAUCCUCUCCCUAUAAAUAACCAUUUUAGCACACUCAUUUCACCCAACACAUUCACCUACCAAUACAUACACUCAUUUCACCUAAUACAUCCACUCAUUACAACCACCCAACACAUUUAUCUACCACUACAUCCACUCAUUUCACCCAACACAUUCACCUACCACUACAUCCAACACAUUCACCUACCACUACAUACACUCAUUUCACCUAAUACAUCCACUCAUUACAACCACCCAACACAUUUAUCUACCACUACAUCCACUCAUUUCACCCAACACAUUCACCUACCACUACAUACAC
rnacentral:lncRNA from 1 species